AAGUGGAGCAAUCCAUGAGUAUAGUGGCGACCGGGUGAGUAACACGUGACUACCUGCCCUUGAGUGGGGGAUAACCUCGGGAAACCGAGGCUAAUACCGCAUAAAAUCGAAAGAUCAAAGGAGCAAUCCGCUUUUGGAGGGGGUCGCGGCUGAUUAGCUAGUUGGUAGGGUAAUGGCCUACCAAGGCGAAGAUCGGUAUCCGGCCUGAGAGGGCGCACGGACACACUGGAACUGAAACACGGUCCAGACUCCUACGGGAGGCAGCAGUGGGGAAUUUUGCGCAAUGGGGGAAACCCUGACGCAGCAACGCCGCGUGGAGGAUGAAGUCCCUUGGG
rnacentral:rRNA from 1 species